rnacentral:rRNA from 1 species
UAACUGGAGGACCGAACCGACUAAUGUUGAAAAAUUAGCGGAUGACCUGUGGCUGGGGGUGAAAGGCCAAUCAAACCGGGAGAUAGCUGGUUCUCCCCGAAAGCUAUUUAGGUAGCGCCUCGUGAAUUCAUCUCCGGGGGUAGAGCACUGUUUCGGCUAGGGGGCCAUCCCGGCUUACCAACCCGAUGCAAACUGCGAAUACCGGAGAAUGUUAUCACGGGAGACACACGGCGGGUGCUAACGUCCGUCGUGAAGAGGGAAACAACCCAGACCGCCAGCUAAGGUCCCAAAGUCAUGGUUAAGUGGGAAACGAUGUGGGAAGGCCCAGACAGCCAGGAUGUUGGCUUAGAAGCAGCCAUCAUUUAAAGAAAGCGUAAUAGCUCACUGGUCGAGUCGGCCUGCGCGGAAGAUGUAACGGGGCUAAACCAUGCACCGAAGCUGCGGCAGCGACGCUUAUGCGUUGUUGGGUAGGGGAGCG